CGCAAAUUAUGCGACAAUUAGCGACCGGUAUGUUGUUUUUGCUUAUAAUUACUUUGUACUUGAAAACACGUGAUACCGAUAUCGACAAACAGCCAAUCAGCUCAGGCAAUUUUUCUGAUAAAUAUUCUACCCACAAAAUAAUCGUUCUGCAAUUGAUAACUUUUAUUUUCCGUCUCUGACGCAAGUUAUGCAACAAUUAGCGACCGGUUUAUAGAUAAAACAUUUGUUAAACUUGAUGGUGAGGGCAAUCGUUAGGUAUUUAAAAUUCGCUUGCUGCUCCCAUUGAUAGCAUAGUCGACAGAAGUUACCAAAACCUUGACAAACAUCAACGAUCGUUUUAAAAGUCAACGAAAUAAAUCAAAAUGUUCAAAAUCAUUUUACUGUUAUCAAUAUUUACGUUAAUGAUUGGGCUUGUGGUAAAUGAAGAGGAUUGUAUGGGUCGAAGUUGUAACGGCUUCCAACCGUGUUGUGAAGGAUUCUUUUGCUUCGGAUACGCACACAUAUGUAUGAAAUCGGAAAAAAAUAAUUGAACUUCAAAUUCGAGGUAUCAAUAAUUUAAUUUCAACAUCUAUUAAAUUAUUCCUUCAAGUAAAAUUAUGUAAGACGCAUAAACAAAUGAAUAAAUAGUAUUGCGCUAUCAAAAUAUAAAA